rnacentral:rRNA from 3 species
GAAACGACUCUCGGCAACGG